GACGAACGCUGGCGGCGUGCUUAACACAUGCAAGUCGAACGACAAGAGGGAAAGAGCUUGCUCUUUCCGGAAUUGAGUGGCAAACGGGUGAGUAACACGUAAACAACUUGUCUUCAGGGGGGGGACAACAGACGGAAAUGACUGCUAAUACCGAAUAAGCCUAAGGGUCAAAGUGGGCCAUGGACGAAAAGGGGGCGUUUACCUGUACCCAUUUGCCAGAAGAGGGGUUUGCGGCUGAAUAGCCGGUUGGGGGGGGAACGGACCACCAAGGGGACGAAUAGGAGCCGGUCUUGGGAGAAGGACGGCCACACCUGAAUCGAGACACCGUCCAGGCCCCUACGGGAGGCAGCAGGGGGGGAACUUCCGCAAAGGGCGAAAGGCUGACUGAGGAACGCCGCGGGAGUGAUGACAGCCUUCGGGUUGGAAAACUCUGUGAUCCGGGACAAAAAAGCAGAGUGCGAAGAACAAGCUGUAUUGACGGUACCGGAAAAGCAAGCCACGGCUAACUACGUG
rnacentral:rRNA from 1 species